UGUCAGAGUUUAAGAAUGCAGCAGCUCGACUUGUCUUCAACCUCUCCAAGUUCUCUCACACUACAGCGCUCCACCGCUCUCUUCACUGGUUACCAGUUGCUGCCUGCAU